rnacentral:rRNA from 4 species
GGGUUGUGAGGUUAAGCGACUAAGCGUACACGGUGGAUGCCCUGGCAGUCAGAGGCGAUGAAGGGCGUGCUAAUCUGCGAUAAGCGCCGGUAAGGUGAUAUGAACCGUUAUAACCGGCGAUACCCGAAUGGGGAAACCCAGUGUGACUCGUCACACUAUCAUUAACUGAAUCCAUAGGUUAAUGAGGCGAACCGGGGGAACUGAAACAUCUAAGUACCCCGAGGAAAAGAAAUCAACCGAGAUUCCCCCAGUAGCGGCGAGCGAACGGGGAGGAGCCCAGAGCCUGAAUCAGCAUGUGUGUUAGUGGAAGCGUCUGGAAAGUCGCGCGAUACAGGGUGACAGCCCCGUACACAAAAGCGCAUGUGUUGUGAGCUCGAUGAGUAGGGCGGGACACGUGGUAUCCUGUCUGAAUAUGGGGGGACCAUCCUCCAAGGCUAAAUACUCCUGACUGACCGAUAGUGAACCAGUACCGUGAGGGAAAGGCGAAAAGAACCCCGGCGAGGGGAGUGAAAAAGAACCUGAAACCGUGUACGUACAAGCAGUGGGAGCCCCACCACCAAAGCAUUCUCUGGUGUUGAAGGCCCUGCAAAGCAGCAUCGCGGUGGCGGAGCGUCGUUUGCGACGCCCAACACAAAAAACAAGCGGUGAGUGCUUUGGGGUGGGGUGACUGCGUACCUUUUGUAUAAUGGGUCAGCGACUUAUAUUCUGUAGCAAGGUUAACCGAAUAGGGGAGCCGUAGGGAAACCGAGUCUUAACUGGGCGUUAAGUUGCAGGGUAUAGACCCGAAACCCGGUGAUCUAGCCAUGGGCAGGUUGAAGGUUGGGUAACACUAACUGGAGGACCGAACCGACUAAUGUUGAAAAAUUAGCGGAUGACCUGUGGCUGGGGGUGAAAGGCCAAUCAAACCGGGAGAUAGCUGGUUCUCCCCGAAAGCUAUUUAGGUAGCGCCUCGUGAAUUCAUCUCCGGGGGUAGAGCACUGUUUCGGCUAGGGGGCCAUCCCGGCUUACCAACCCGAUGCAAACUGCGAAUACCGGAGAAUGUUAUCACGGGAGACACACGGCGGGUGCUAACGUCCGUCGUGAAGAGGGAAACAACCCAGACCGCCAGCUAAGGUCCCAAAGUCAUGGUUAAGUGGGAAACGAUGUGGGAAGGCCCAGACAGCCAGGAUGUUGGCUUAGAAGCAGCCAUCAUUUAAAGAAAGCGUAAUAGCUCACUGGUCGAGUCGGCCUGCGCGGAAGAUGUAACGGGGCUAAACCAUGCACCGAAGCUGCGGCAGCGACGCUGAUGCGUUGUUGGGUAGGGGAGCGUUCUGUAAGCCUGCGAAGGUGGCCUGUGAGGGUUGCUGGAGGUAUCAGAAGUGCGAAUGCUGACAUAAGUAACGAUAAAGCGGGUGAAAAGCCCGCUCGCCGGAAGACCAAGGGUUCCUGUCCAACGUUAAUCGGGGCAGGGUGAGUCGACCCCUAAGGCGAGGCCGAAAGGCGUAGUCGAUGGGAAACGGGUUAAUAUUCCCGUACUUGGUGUUACUGCGAAGGGGGGACGGAGAAGGCUAUGUUGGCCGGGCGACGGUUGUCCCGGUUUAAGCGUGUAGGUGUGUGUUCCAGGUAAAUCCGGUUCACUUUAACACUGAGGCGUGAUGACGAGGCACUACGGUGCUGAAGCAACAAAUGCCCUGCUUCCAGGAAAAGCCUCUAAGCAUCAGGUAACAUCAAAUCGUACCCCAAACCGACACAGGUGGUCAGGUAGAGAAUACCAAGGCGCUUGAGAGAACUCGGGUGAAGGAACUAGGCAAAAUGGUGCCGUAACUUCGGGAGAAGGCACGCUGACACGUAGGUGAAGUGAUUUACUCAUGGAGCUGAAGUCAGUCGAAGAUACCAGCUGGCUGCAACUGUUUAUUAAAAACACAGCACUGUGCAAACACGAAAGUGGACGUAUACGGUGUGACGCCUGCCCGGUGCCGGAAGGUUAAUUGAUGGGGUCAGCGCAAGCGAAGCUCCUGAUCGAAGCCCCGGUAAACGGCGGCCGUAACUAUAACGGUCCUAAGGUAGCGAAAUUCCUUGUCGGGUAAGUUCCGACCUGCACGAAUGGCGUAAUGAUGGCCAGGCUGUCUCCACCCGAGACUCAGUGAAAUUGAACUCGCUGUGAAGAUGCAGUGUACCCGCGGCAAGACGGAAAGACCCCGUGAACCUUUACUAUAGCUUGACACUGAACAUUGAGCCUUGAUGUGUAGGAUAGGUGGGAGGCUUUGAAGUGUGGACGCCAGUCUGCAUGGAGCCGACCUUGAAAUACCACCCUUUAAUGUUUGAUGUUCUAACGUGGACCCGUUACCCGGGUUGCGGACAGUGUCUGGUGGGUAGUUUGACUGGGGCGGUCUCCUCCUAAAGAGUAACGGAGGAGCACGAAGGUUGGCUAAUCCUGGUCGGACAUCAGGAGGUUAGUGCAAUGGCAUAAGCCAGCUUGACUGCGAGCGUGACGGCGCGAGCAGGUGCGAAAGCAGGUCAUAGUGAUCCGGUGGUUCUGAAUGGAAGGGCCAUCGCUCAACGGAUAAAAGGUACUCCGGGGAUAACAGGCUGAUACCGCCCAAGAGUUCAUAUCGACGGCGGUGUUUGGCACCUCGAUGUCGGCUCAUCACAUCCUGGGGCUGAAGUAGGUCCCAAGGGUAUGGCUGUUCGCCAUUUAAAGUGGUACGCGAGCUGGGUUUAGAACGUCGUGAGACAGUUCGGUCCCUAUCUGCCGUGGGCGCUGGAGAACUGAGGGGGGCUGCUCCUAGUACGAGAGGACCGGAGUGGACGCAUCACUGGUGUUCGGGUUGUCAUGCCAAUGGCACUGCCCGGUAGCUAAAUGCGGAAGAGAUAAGUGCUGAAAGCAUCUAAGCACGAAACUUGCCCCGAGAUGAGUUCUCCCUGAGACUUAGAGUCUCCUGAAGGAACGUUGAAGACGACGACGUUGAUAGGCCGGGUGUGUAAGCGCAGCGAUGCGUUGAGCUAACCGGUACUAAUGAACCGUGAGGCUUAACCUUACAACGCCGAAG